rnacentral:rRNA from 1 species
UACGUAGGUGGCAAGCGUUGUCCGGAAUUAUUGGGCGUAAAGCGCGCGCAGGCGGUUCUUUAAGUCUGAUGUGAAAUCCCACGGCUCAACCGUGGAAGGUCAUUGGAAACUGGGGGACUUGAGUACAGAAGAGGAAAGCGGAAUUCCAAGUGUAGCGGUGAAAUGCGUAGAGGUGUGGAGGAACACCAGUGGCGAAGGCGGCUUUCUGGUCUGUAACUGACGCUGAGGCGCGAAAGCGUGGGGAGCAAACAGG